CAGCAGCCGCGGUAAUACAGAGGGUGCAAGCGUUAAUCGGAAUUACUGGGCGUAAAGCGCGCGUAGGUGGUUUGGUAAGAUGGAUGUGAAAUCCCCGGGCUCAACCUGGGAACUGCAUCCAUAACUGCCUGACUAGAGUACGGUAGAGGGUGGUGGAAUUUCCUGUGUAGCGGUGAAAUGCGUAGAUAUAGGAAGGAACACCAGUGGCGAAGGCGACCACCUGGACUGAUACUGACACUGAGGUGCGAAAGCGUGGGGAGCAAACAGGAUUAGAUACCCCGGUAGUCCCUGUCUCUUAUAC
rnacentral:rRNA from 1 species